UACGUAGGGUGCGAGCGUUGUCCGGAAUUAUUGGGCGUAAAGAGCUCGUAGGCGGUGUGUCACGUCGGCCGUGAAAACCCGCGGCUCAACCGCGUGGCUUGCAGUCGAUACGGGCAGGCUAGAAUUCGGUAGGGGAGACUGGAAUUCCUGGUGUAGCGGUGAAAUGCGCAGAUAUCAGGAGGAACACCGGUGGCGAAGGCGGGUCUCUGGGCCGAUACUGACGCUGAGGAGCGAAAGCGUGGGGAGCGAACAGG
rnacentral:rRNA from 1 species